CCUACGGGAGGCAGCAGUGGGGAAUAUUGCACAAUGGGGGAAACCCUGAUGCAGCGACGCCGCGUGAGUGAAGAAGUAUCUCGGUACGUAAAGCUCUAUCAGCAGGGAAGAAAAUGACGGUAACUGACUAAGAAGCCCCGGCUAACUACGUGCCAGCAGCCGCGGUAACACGUAGGGGGCAAGCGUUAUCCGGCUUUACUGGGUGUAAAGGGAGCGUAGACGGCAGCACAAGUCUGGAGUGAAAUCCCGGGGCUUAACCCUGGAACUGCAUUGGAAACUGUGCGGCUGGAGUGCAGGAGGGGGAAGCGGAAUUCCUAGUGUAGCGGUGAAAUGCGUAGAGAUUAGGAGGAACACCGGUGGCGAAGGCGGCUUACUGGACUGUAACUGACGUUGAGGCUCGAAAGCGUGGGGAGCAAACAGGAUUAGAUACCCGAGUAGUC
rnacentral:rRNA from 1 species